rnacentral:rRNA from 1 species
AGCGAAGCCUGGCGGCGUGCUUAAACAUGCAGUYGAACGAUGAACCUCCUUCGGGAGGGGAUUAGUGGCGAACGGGUGAGUAACAMGUGGGCAAUCUGCCCUGMCUCUGGGACAAGCCCUGGAAACGGGGWCUAAUACCGGAUACUGAUCAUCUUGGGCAUCCUUGGUGAUCGAAAGCUCCGGCGGUGCAGGAUGAGCCCGCGGCCUAUCAGCUUGUUGGUGAGGUAAUGGCUCACCAAGGCGACGACGGGUAGCCGGCCUGAGAGGGCGACCGGCCACACUGGGACUGAGACACGGCCCARACUCCUACGGGAGGCAGCAGUGGGGAAUAUUGCACAAUGGGCGAAAGCSUGAUGCAGCGACGCCGCGUGAGGGAUGACGGCCUUCGGGUUGUAAACYUCUUUCAGCAGGGAAGAAGCGAAAGUGACGGUACCUGCAGAAGAAGCGCCGGCUAACUACGUGCCAGCAGCCGGUAAWWAC